rnacentral:rRNA from 1 species
AAAUUGAAGAGUUUGAUCAUGGCUCAGAUUGAACGCUGGCGGCAGGCCUAACACAUGCAAGUCGAGCGGAAACGAGUUAUCAGAACCUUCGGGGGACGAUAACGGCGUCGAGCGGCGGACGGGUGAGUAAUGCCUAGGAAAUUGCCCUGAUGUGGGGGAUAACCAUUGGAAACGAUGGCUAAUACCGCAUGAUGCCUACGGGCCAAAGAGGGGGACCUUCGGGCCUCUCGCGUCAGGAUAUGCCUAGGUGGGAUUAGCUAGUUGGUGAGGUAAGGGCUCACCAAGGCGACGAUCCCUAGCUGGUCUGAGAGGAUGAUCAGCCACACUGGAACUGAGACACGGUCCAGACUCCUACGGGAGGCAGCAGUGGGGAAUAUUGCACAAUGGGCGCAAGCCUGAUGCAGCCAUGCCGCGUGUGUGAAGAAGGCCUUCGGGUUGUAAAGCACUUUCAGUCGUGAGGAAGGUGGUGUAGUUAAUAGCUG